AAAAGGCUAGAACAAUUUAGGACAAUCGCAGUAAAUGAGGUCCAUCCUAGGCAAUCUGAGGCAGAUGGUUUUCUUACUUACAAACCAGGAGCUUGCACUCUCUUGCCUUUCUGCCUUGCACCAUGGGAGGACACAGCAAGAAGCUCUCACCGGAUGCUAGACCCUCAACCUUGGACUUCUCAGCCUCCAGAACCACGAGAAAUAAAUUUCUGUUUAUUGUAAAUUGCCCAGUCUCAAAUAUUAUGUGACAGCUGCACUAAACAGACUAAGAUGCUCCCUUAACAUAAACCACAGGGUUCCUAUGGAAAACAGGCAACAUGGAAUGUUUCAGGCAUUGUAAUCAUUGAAGGAAAGGAGAAACAAAAGGAGAGAUUGUGCUGAAGUGAACAGAGCACAGACUGUGACGGGAAUCUCACAAUCUUACCAACUUUGAGAUCAGGAAAUAAUACUCUUUCUCAUGAUGUGUAUGACGGACAUCUCUGUUAAUUAUUCUGAAGAUCUCUGGGCUCUGCUGAAA